rnacentral:lncRNA from 1 species
AUUUUUUUGGGUGUAACGUGGCUUAUGUCAGGAUAGGAUAAUUUUUGGAUAAUUGACUUAAACCUUGGAGUUAGGUACCUCUUUUUCCUUCCUUUAUCUUCUCCUUUUCAUAACACUUUUUCUUUCAUAUUGGGUACUAGAGAUUUUUCAAAUUUGUGGUCUUUUUCUUUUCUUUUUCAUUAUUUUUUUUUGUUUAGAAAAUGCCAUGUGUUUGACAUCUUCUUUUUCUUUCUUUUUCUUUUCUUAGACCAAAUUCUCUAGUAUCCCAAACUCCAAACUUAAAUGUUCCUGACUUCUAAGAGUAACCCCAAACUUAGUGAUUAGCUUAUACCAAAAUUAAAAUCUAUCUACCUAACUCCAAGGAGGGUGAAAAGAUUUCUAUCUUUCAAGUCAAGGCUUAUAAUAGGCUAAGUCACCAAAGGAAAAACUAAGGCUCAAAUUGGUUAACAAUGGAUAUCAUUCAUAAUGCAAUAAUAGUUUAUAAGGCCGUAAAGUUUUCACAAACAAC